AGAGUUUGAUCAUGGCUCAGAGCGAACGCUGGCGGCAGGCCUAAUACAUGCAAGUCGAGCGCACCUUCGGGUGAGCGGCGGACGGGUGAGUAACGCGUGGGAACGUGCCCUUUGGUACGGAACAACUGAGGGAAACUUCAGCUAAUACCGUAUGUGCCCUUCGGGGGAAAGAUUUAUCGCCAUUGGAGCGGCCCGCGUUGGAUUAGGUAGUUGGUGGGGUAAUGGCCUACCAAGCCUACGAUCCAUAGCUGGUCUGAGAGGAUGAUCAGCCACACUGGGACUGAGACACGGCCCAGACUCCUACGGGAGGCAGCAGUAGGGAAUCUUGCGCAAUGGGCGAAAGCCUGACGCAGCCAUGCCGCGUGAAUGAUGAAGGUCUUAGGAUUGUAAAAUUCUUUCACCGGGGAAGAUAAUGACGGUACCCGGAGAAGAAGCCCCGGCUAACUUCGUGCCAGCAGCCGCGGUAAUACGAAGGGGGCUAGCGUUGCUCGGAAUUACUGGGCGUAAAGGGCGCGUAGGCGGAUAUCUAAGUCGGGGGUGAAAGCCCAGGGCUCAACCCUGGAAUUGCCUUCGAUACUGGGUAUCUUGAGUUCGGGAGAGGUGAGUGGAAUGCCGAGUGUAGAGGUGAAAUUCGUAGAUAUUCGGCGGAACACCAGUGGCGAAGGCGACUCACUGGCCCGAUACUGACGCUGAGGCGCGAAAGCGUGGGGAGCAAACAGGAUUAGAUACCCUAGUAGUCC
rnacentral:rRNA from 1 species